rnacentral:tRNA from 1 species
GGGGGCGUGGCGGGUNUGGCGAAAUUGGUAGACGCACUGGAUUUAGGUUCCAGCGCCGCAAGGUGUAAGAGUUCGAGUCUCUUCGCCCCCACCA